ACUCAAAUGAAUAGACGGGGACUUGCACAAGCGGUGGAUCAUGCGGCUCAAUUCGAUGACAAACGAAGAACCUCACCAGGGUUAGAAACCAAGACGACAGAGUAGGAAACUACUUCUUCGCAAGACGGCUUGGCAGGUGAUGCAUGGUCGUCGUCAGUUCGUGGCUUGAGUUGUUCCCUUCAGUGGGGUAACGAACGCAACCCUCGUUGCCUGUUUUAUAUGUCAGGCGAGACUGCCCCCUCACGGGGGAGGAAGGUGAGGAUGACGCCAGAUCAGCAUGUCCCUCUGAUAUCCUGGGCUGCACGCAUGAUACAAUGGGCGUGACAACGCGACGCGACGGGGUAACCCUGAGCAAAUCGUAAUAAACACGCCCCCAGUUCGGAUUGAGGUCUGCAACUCGACCUCAUGAAGCCGGAAUCGCUAGUAAUCGCAGGUCAGCUAUACUGCGGUGAAUACGUUCUCAAGUCUUGUACACACCGCCCGU
rnacentral:rRNA from 1 species